rnacentral:rRNA from 1 species
GACGAACGCUGGCGGCGUGCUUAACACAUGCAAGUCGAACGGAAAGGCCCUGCUUUUGUGGGGUGCUAGAGUGGCGAACGGGUGAGUAACACGUGAGUAACCUGCCCUUGACUUUGGGAUAACUACAGGAAACUGGGAAUAAUACCGGAUAGGUGCUCAUGCUGCAUGGUGGGGGUUGGAGAGUUGCGGCGGUGGGGGAUGGACUCGCGGCUUAUCAGCUUGUUGGUGGAGUAGUGGCUUACCAAGGGUUUGACGGGUAGCCGACCUGAGAGGGUGACCGGCCACAUUGGGACUGAGGUACGGCCCAGAAUCCUACGGGAGGCAGCAGUGGAGAAUAUUGCGGAGUGGGCGGAAGCCUGUUGCAGCAACGCCGCGUGCGGGAUGACGGCCUUCGGGUGGUAAACCGGUUUCGCCGGUGACGAAGCGUGAGUGACGGUAAUGGGUAAGGAAGCACCGGCUAACUACGUG